CCUACGGGUGACAGCAGUGGGGAAUAUUGUACAAUGGGCGAAAGUCUGAUGCAGCGACGCCGCGUGAAGGAAGAAGGCCUUCGGUAUGUAAACUUCUAUCAGCAGGGAAGAAAAUGACAGUAUCUAACUAAGAAUCUAUGGACAACUACGUGCAAGCAGCCGCGGUAAUACGUAGGGGGCAAGCGUUAUACGGAUUGACUGGGUGUAAAGGGGGCGUAGGCGGUUCAGCAAGUCAGAAGUGAAAGCCCGGGGCUCAACUACAGGACUGCUGUUGAAACUGGAGAACUAGAGUGCAGGAGAGGUAGGCGGAAUUCCUGGUGUAGCGGUGAAAUGCGUAGAUAUCAGGAGGAACUCCGAUGGCGAAGGCGGCUUACUGGACUGUAAAUGACGCUGAGGCUCGAAAGCGUGGGUAGCAAACAGGAUUAGAUACCCCAGUAGUC
rnacentral:rRNA from 1 species